GGGUUGUGAGGUUAAGCGACUAAGCGUACACGGUGGAUGCCCUGGCAGUCAGAGGCGAUGAAGGACGUGCUAAUCUGCGAUAAGCGUCGGUAAGGUGAUAUGAACCGUUAUAACCGGCGAUUUCCGAAUGGGGAAACCCAGUGUGUUUCGACACACUAUCAUUAACUGAAUCCAUAGGUUAAUGAGGCGAACCGGGGGAACUGAAACAUCUAAGUACCCCGAGGAAAAGAAAUCAACCGAGAUUCCCCCAGUAGCGGCGAGCGAACGGGGAGCAGCCCAGAGCCUGAAUCAGUGUGUGUGUUAGUGGAAGCGUCUGGAAAGGCGCGCGAUACAGGGUGACAGCCCCGUACACAAAAAUGCACAUGCUGUGAGCUCGAUGAGUAGGGCGGGACACGUGGUAUCCUGUCUGAAUAUGGGGGGACCAUCCUCCAAGGCUAAAUACUCCUGACUGACCGAUAGUGAACCAGUACCGUGAGGGAAAGGCGAAAAGAACCCCGGCGAGGGGAGUGAAAAAGAACCUGAAACCGUGUACGUACAAGCAGUGGGAGCACGCUUAGGCGUGUGACUGCGUACCUUUUGUAUAAUGGGUCAGCGACUUAUAUUCUGUAGCAAGGUUAACCGAAUAGGGGAGCCGAAGGGAAACCGAGUCUUAACUGGGCGUUAAGUUGCAGGGUAUAGACCCGAAACCCGGUGAUCUAGCCAUGGGCAGGUUGAAGGUUGGGUAACACUAACUGGAGGACCGAACCGACUAAUGUUGAAAAAUUAGCGGAUGACUUGUGGCUGGGGGUGAAAGGCCAAUCAAACCGGGAGAUAGCUGGUUCUCCCCGAAAGCUAUUUAGGUAGCGCCUCGUGAAUUCAUCUCCGGGGGUAGAGCACUGUUUCGGCAAGGGGGUCAUCCCGACUUACCAACCCGAUGCAAACUGCGAAUACCGGAGAAUGUUAUCACGGGAGACACACGGCGGGUGCUAACGUCCGUCGUGAAGAGGGAAACAACCCAGACCGCCAGCUAAGGUCCCAAAGUCAUGGUUAAGUGGGAAACGAUGUGGGAAGGCCCAGACAGCCAGGAUGUUGGCUUAGAAGCAGCCAUCAUUUAAAGAAAGCGUAAUAGCUCACUGGUCGAGUCGGCCUGCGCGGAAGAUGUAACGGGGCUAAACCAUGCACCGAAGCUGCGGCAGCGACGCUGAUGCGUUGUUGGGUAGGGGAGCGUUCUGUAAGCCUGCGAAGGUGUGCUGUGAGGCAUGCUGGAGGUAUCAGAAGUGCGAAUGCUGACAUAAGUAACGAUAAAGCGGGUGAAAAGCCCGCUCGCCGGAAGACCAAGGGUUCCUGUCCAACGUUAAUCGGGGCAGGGUGAGUCGACCCCUAAGGCGAGGCCGAAAGGCGUAGUCGAUGGGAAACAGGUUAAUAUUCCUGUACUUGGUGUUACUGCGAAGGGGGGACGGAGAAGGCUAUGUUGGCCGGGCGACGGUUGUCCCGGUUUAAGCGUGUAGGCUGGUUUUCCAGGCAAAUCCGGAAAAUCAAGGCUGAGGCGUGAUGACGAGGCACUACGGUGCUGAAGCAACAAAUGCCCUGCUUCCAGGAAAAGCCUCUAAGCAUCAGGUAACAUCAAAUCGUACCCCAAACCGACACAGGUGGUCAGGUAGAGAAUACCAAGGCGCUUGAGAGAACUCGGGUGAAGGAACUAGGCAAAAUGGUGCCGUAACUUCGGGAGAAGGCACGCUGAUAUGUAGGUGAAGUCCCUCGCGGAUGGAGCUGAAAUCAGUCGAAGAUACCAGCUGGCUGCAACUGUUUAUUAAAAACACAGCACUGUGCAAACACGAAAGUGGACGUAUACGGUGUGACGCCUGCCCGGUGCCGGAAGGUUAAUUGAUGGGGUUAGCCGCAAGGCGAAGCUCUUGAUCGAAGCCCCGGUAAACGGCGGCCGUAACUAUAACGGUCCUAAGGUAGCGAAAUUCCUUGUCGGGUAAGUUCCGACCUGCACGAAUGGCGUAAUGAUGGCCAGGCUGUCUCCACCCGAGACUCAGUGAAAUUGAACUCGCUGUGAAGAUGCAGUGUACCCGCGGCAAGACGGAAAGACCCCGUGAACCUUUACUAUAGCUUGACACUGAACAUUGAGCCUUGAUGUGUAGGAUAGGUGGGAGGCUUUGAAGUGUGGACGCCAGUCUGCAUGGAGCCGACCUUGAAAUACCACCCUUUAAUGUUUGAUGUUCUAACGUUGACCCGUAAUCCGGGUUGCGGACAGUGUCUGGUGGGUAGUUUGACUGGGGCGGUCUCCUCCUAAAGAGUAACGGAGGAGCACGAAGGUUGGCUAAUCCUGGUCGGACAUCAGGAGGUUAGUGCAAUGGCAUAAGCCAGCUUGACUGCGAGCGUGACGGCGCGAGCAGGUGCGAAAGCAGGUCAUAGUGAUCCGGUGGUUCUGAAUGGAAGGGCCAUCGCUCAACGGAUAAAAGGUACUCCGGGGAUAACAGGCUGAUACCGCCCAAGAGUUCAUAUCGACGGCGGUGUUUGGCACCUCGAUGUCGGCUCAUCACAUCCUGGGGCUGAAGUAGGUCCCAAGGGUAUGGCUGUUCGCCAUUUAAAGUGGUACGCGAGCUGGGUUUAGAACGUCGUGAGACAGUUCGGUCCCUAUCUGCCGUGGGCGCUGGAGAACUGAGGGGGGCUGCUCCUAGUACGAGAGGACCGGAGUGGACGCAUCACUGGUGUUCGGGUUGUCAUGCCAAUGGCACUGCCCGGUAGCUAAAUGCGGAAGAGAUAAGUGCUGAAAGCAUCUAAGCACGAAACUUGCCCCGAGAUGAGUUCUCCCUGACUCCUUGAGAGUCCUGAAGGAACGUUGAAGACGACGACGUUGAUAGGCCGGGUGUGUAAGCGCAGCGAUGCGUUGAGCUAACCGGUACUAAUGAACCGUGAGGCUUAACCUUACAACGCCGAAGGUGUUU
rnacentral:rRNA from 2 species